CUUGGAUGGACAGUGUAACCACUCAGUCUAGUCAGUACUUCCUCUCUCUGGUUCAUACCACUUUUCUCUGCAUAAACACUAGGCGCCAUUUGUUGUUCAAGACACUGCAAUAGCACUUUCACUUCUCCAUCCAGGGAUGGCUUUGCUUCUUUGGAGCUGUAGAAUAAAACUACUGCAGUUCUGAAAUGCCUUCCUUUUGCCGGCAGGUUGCUGAAUUGUCUGCAUCUUUGGAAGAGCUGGACACCUCCAGUGACAUAUGGAUGUGCUGCACACGUUGCUGGUGCCCUGUGCAAGGUCAAGUGUUUGGAAAGAAGCCCAAACAGCUUCCUGGCUCAGGAAAUGUGGACACAGAGAUGAAGCAGCAGCAUUGGACUACUUUCUUUGCUGUGGUAGGAACACAAACUGGUGAUGGAUUUUGAUCUGCCUGGUACACAAGGAUGUCUACAGGCCUUCAGCAGAUGAUGCUCUAAUCUCCCUUUGGCAUCUCCCUGCCCGUUGCCUGUGCAGCCAUGUGCACAUCUGAGAGCAAAUUUUCUAGGACAGCACUGGGAGAUCCAGAAGGGCCAUGCUGUGCCAGCCCACCUGGCUGCAAUCUGCACAGAAAUCCCUGGUUUGUCAGUCCAGGAGCCCAAAGCAGCUGAAAGACCUUCCCAGAGCCAUGAGCAUGGGGCUUGUCCUAGUGCUGGGAAAUGCUUCUACCCAGUAUCCUUUAAAGCAGACAUCCAGAGCUGCAGUUUAAAAUGUCACUCAGAAAUGUUCUGUGCCUGCAGAUGGAAGGGGGGAGGUGGCAUCUGCCAGCUGUUGGGUUUCCCUGAAAGGCUGUUUUGUCCACUGUGAGACCCCGUUGUCCUCUCCAGAGAUGCAAGUCUAUACAGGAGUUACCCCACCAGAGAGAAAAACGUUGAAUGAUGCAGAGCUGCCCUCCUUAUAAUGUUCCUUCUUGGCUUGCUUAGGCAUUUUUGAAAUUCCUCUGAGCCCCCCCACACAGUGUUUUGUAGAGUCCUUAGCACUGAGUCUCAGCAUGAGCCUCAGUCCCUCUCCCAUCAGCUUUUAGUAACAAUAAAUUGAAAGCAAAUCCAAAUCUUUGCCCCAUCAGAAACCGCAGCUGCAAAGCUGUCCUAUUGUUUCACAAGCUACUUUUAUUUUUGAGCCUUCAGACCUGUGGCAUAUCUUCUGCAAAGGUUAAAUUCAAAAUUUGCUGCACAAGCAUAGUGAGGAAAGCCUGUUUCUCAGCAUACUUGAGAAUCUCCAACCCCCUCCAAAACAAAAUGGAAGUGUCUCUGGUUCAAGGCAGCCUACACGGCAGUGAGCUGCAGGAGCUGUAAGCUAUUAUUUUAGUUCCCAAGAAAAGUAAUUACUAUAGCAACCAACACAUCCGAAUGGCUCUUUGGCUGCUGCCGAGACACAAACAACUUGCACACAAAGGCACAUCAGAGACAUGCUGUGUGAAAUGUUCUCGAGUAGCUCUGUGUUUUCCAGAGCUCUAUAAAGUGUGCGUAACAGGCUUCUGAGAAAUGACUGCCAGAAUAACAGCAAGCAAUUGUGCCGUGCCACAAUCCCAAAAUAACCUAAUCAAUGGCCCAGUAUAUUUGCCCCUGAAGAGAUGAAGAAAAAAAAAAAAGCAGAGGCUCCAUUUUAAGCCUGUGUGCCGGAAAGUUCCCAGCAGAGCUGAAGAUACAUUUAACAAACAGACAAUAAAAUGGUGGGGGAAUGUCUCCGCUUUUGUUCUGCCUGCUGAUUGCUGAUUCCAAUUCCCUGCAGGCUUCACGUGCCAGCUCAUCCCAUCAGGCUUGUACAGAGUGUUGGAAAAAGGGAUUUAAUUACAGUCUUGUAAUGGUGGAGGGUGUAGGAAGCAAUGUCUGCGUUCUUUUCUGUGUCUGUGCAGCAACCAGCCCCCACAGAUCACAUCUCCAGCUGCAGUGCUGGGCACAUCACUGCUGCUCUUACUGAACAAGGAAGUUUCUUGAGCAACACCAAGCUGUAACCACUGGCAUUGCUUAAGUUUUACAGUGUUAGGAGUGUCUCUGUCACAUUCAAAUCAAAAUGCCACUGGUGUGAUAACAGCUUAAGAGCUCCUGGCCUCUGACUGCAAAGCUGCACCACUUGGUGAUGCCGAGACAAACACCCUGGGUUCCCCAAAAC